AAAAAAGGUAAGCUACUAAGAGCGAAUGGUGGAUGCCUUGACUGGUAAAGGCGAUGAAGGACGUACUAGACUGCGAUAAGCUACGGGGAGCUGUCAAGAAGCUUUGAUCCGUAGAUUUCCGAAUGGGGCAACCCAAUGUAUAGAGAUAUACAUUACCUAUAUAGGAGCGAACGAGGGGAAUUGAAACAUCUUAGUACCCUCAGGAAAAGAAAUCAAUAGAGAUUGCGUCAGUAGCGGCGAGCGAAAGCGCAAGAGGGCAAACCCAGUGCUUGCACUGGGGGUUGUAGGACUGCAAUGUGCAAGAGCUGAGUUUAGCAGAACAUUCUGGAAAGUAUAGCCAUAGAGGGUGAUAGUCCCGUAUGCGAAAAACAAAGCUUAGCUAGCAGUAUCCUGAGUAGGGCGGGACACGAGGAAUCCUGUCUGAAUCCGGGUCGACCACGAUCCAACCCUAAAUACUAAUACCAGAUCGAUAGUGCACAAGUACCGUGAGGGAAAGGUGAAAAGAACUGAGGUGAUCAGAGUGAAAUAGAACCUGAAACCAUUUGCUUACAAUCAUUCAGAGCCCUAUGUAGCAAUACAGGGUGAUGGACUGCCUUUUGCAUAAUGAGCCUGCGAGUUGUGGUGUCUGGCAAGGUUAAGCAAACGCGAAGCCGUAGCGAAAGCGAGUCUGAAUAGGGCGCUUAGUCAGAUGCUGCAGACCCGAAACGAAGUGAUCUAUCCAUGAGCAAGUUGAAGCUAGUGUAAGAACUAGUGGAGGACUGAACCCAUAGGCGUUGAAAAGCCCCGGGAUGACUUGUGGAUAGGGGUGAAAGGCCAAUCAAACUUCGUGAUAGCUGGUUCUCUCCGAAAUAUAUUUAGGUAUAGCGUUGUGUCGUAAUAUAAGGGGGUAGAGCACUGAAUGGGCUAGGGCAUACACCAAUGUACCAAACCCUAUCAAACUCCGAAUACCUUAUAUGUAAUCACAGCAGUCAGGCGGCGAGUGAUAAAAUCCGUCGUCAAGAGGGAAACAACCCAGACUACCAGCUAAGGUCCCUAAAUCUUACUUAAGUGGAAAACGAUGUGAAGUUACUUAAACAACCAGGAGGUUGGCUUAGAAGCAGCCAUCCUUUAAAGAAAGCGUAAUAGCUCACUGGUCUAGUGAUUUUGCGCGGAAAAUAUAACGGGGCUAAAGUAAGUACCGAAGCUGUAGACUUGCACACAACUUAGAUUAUUUAAGUUUAGAAUAUGAGAAACUAAGUUAUAUGUUUAGUUAUAUUUUUACUGAUUUUUAUAGAGUAAAGAUAGAAAUAAAACUUAGUAAAAUCAGUAAAAAUAUUCUUAGACUAAAGUUAAGUAGUUUAAGUUGUGUGCAAGUGGUAGGAGAGCGUUCUAUUUGCGUCGAAGGUAUACCGGUAAGGAGUGCUGGAGCGAAUAGAAGUGAGCAUGCAGGCAUGAGUAGCGAUAAUUAAUGUGAGAAUCAUUAACGCCGUAAACCCAAGGUUUCCUACGCGAUGCUCGUCAUCGUAGGGUUAGUCGGGUCCUAAGUCGAGUCCGAAAGGGGUAGACGAUGGCAAAUUGGUUAAUAUUCCAAUACCAACAUUAGUGUGCGAUGGAAGGACGCUUAGGGCUAAGGGGGCUAGCGGAUGGAAGUGCUAGUCUAAGGUCGUAGGAGGUUAUACAGGCAAAUCCGUAUAACAAUACUCCGAGAACUGAAAGGCUUUUUGAAGUCUUCGGAUGGAUAGAAGAACCCCUGAUGCCGUCGAGCCAAGAAAAGUUUCUAAGUUUAGCUAAUGUUGCCCGUACCGUAAACCGACACAGGUGGGUGGGAUGAGUAUUCUAAGGCGCGUGGAAGAACUCUCUUUAAGGAACUCUGCAAAAUAGCACCGUAUCUUCGGUAUAAGGUGUGGUUAGCUUUGUAUUAGGAUUUACUCCGAAAGCAAGGAAACUUACAACAAAGAGUCCCUCCCGACUGUUUACCAAAAACACAGCACUCUGCUAACUCGUAAGAGGAUGUAUAGGGUGUGACGCCUGCCCGGUGCUCGAAGGUUAAUUGAUGGGGUUAGCAUUAGCGAAGCUCUUGAUCGAAGCCCGAGUAAACGGCGGCCGUAACUAUAACGGUCCUAAGGUAGCGAAAUUCCUUGUCGGUUAAAUACCGACCUGCAUGAAUGGCGUAACGAGAUGGGAGCUGUCUCAAAGAGGGAUCCAGUGAAAUUGUAGUGGAGGUGAAAAUUCCUCCUACCCGCGGCAAGACGGAAAGACCCCGUGGACCUUUACUACAGCUUGACACUGCUACUUGGAUAAGAAUGUGCAGGAUAGGUGGGAGGCUUUGAGUAUAUGACGCCAGUUGUAUAUGAGCCAUUGUUGAGAUACCACUCUUUCUUAUUUGGGUAGCUAACCAGCUUGAGUUAUCCUCAAGUGGGACAAUGUCUGGUGGGUAGUUUGACUGGGGCGGUCGCCUCCCAAAUAAUAACGGAGGCUUACAAAGGUUGGCUCAGAACGGUUGGAAAUCGUUCGUAGAGUAUAAAGGUAUAAGCCAGCUUAACUGCAAGACAUACAAGUCAAGCAGAGACGAAAGUCGGUCUUAGUGAUCCGGUGGUUCUGUGUGGAAGGGCCAUCGCUCAAAGGAUAAAAGGUACCCCGGGGAUAACAGGCUGAUCUCCCCCAAGAGCUCACAUCGACGGGGAGGUUUGGCACCUCGAUGUCGGCUCAUCGCAUCCUGGGGCUGGAGCAGGUCCCAAGGGUAUGGCUGUUCGCCAUUUAAAGCGGUACGCGAGCUGGGUUCAGAACGUCGUGAGACAGUUCGGUCCCUAUCUGCCGUGGGCGUAAGAAGAUUGAAGAGAUUUGACCCUAGUACGAGAGGACCGGGUUGAACAAACCACUGGUGUAGCUGUUGUUCUGCCAAGAGCAUCGCAGCGUAGCUAAGUUUGGAAAGGAUAAACGCUGAAAGCAUCUAAGCGUGAAGCCAACUCUAAGAUGAAUCUUCUCUAAGCUCUCUAGAAGACUACUAGUUUGAUAGGCUGGGUGUGUAAUGGAUGAAAGUCCUUUAGCUGACCAGUACUAAUAGAGCGUUUGGCUUAUCUUUAAUAAAGCAU
rnacentral:rRNA from 1 species